GGCGAACGCUGGCGGCGUACUUAACACAUGCAAGUCGAACGGGGGAUCGUGGGGUGGGCAACCAUUCCGCGGUUCUAGUGGCGUACGGGUGAGUAACACGUGGGUAACCUGCCCUCGAGCCUGGGAUACCCCCUCCGAAGGGGGACGGUAAUACCGGACGUACGCUCCUCGGGUCGGCGAGAUCAGAGGAGGAAAGGUAGGC
rnacentral:rRNA from 1 species